GUAAGUAUAGUUUAACCAAAACAUUAGAUUGUGAUUCUAGAAACAGGAGUUGAAACCCCCUUACUCACC
rnacentral:tRNA from 1 species